UGUAAUCAAAUGAUACGCAAUGCCAAG
rnacentral:sRNA from 1 species